UAAGCGAGAUGUGAAAUCCCUGGGCUCAACUUCGGUACUGCAUUUGGAACUGGCAGGCUAGAGUGCAGGAGAGGAAAGCGGAAUUCCUAGUGUAGCGGUGAAAUGCGUAGAUAUUAGGAGGAACACCAGUGGCGAAGGCGGCUUACUGGACGAUGACUGACGUUGAGGCUCGAAAGCGUGGGGAGCAA
rnacentral:rRNA from 1 species